AUACGGAGGAUCCGAGCGUUAUCCGGAUUUAUUGGGUGUAAAGCGCGUCUAGGCGGCUUAGUAAGUCUGAUGUGAAAAUGCGGGGCUCAACCCCGUAUUGCGUUGGAAACUGCUAAACUAGAGUACUGGAGAGGUAGGCGGAACUACAAGUGUAGAGGUGAAAUUCGUAGAUAUUUGUAGGAAUGCCGAUGGGGAAGCCAGCCUACUGGACAGAUACUGACGCUAAAGCGCGAAAGCGUGGGUAGCAAACAGGAUUAGAUACCCUGGUAGUCCACGCCGUAAACGAUGAUUACUAGGUGUUGGGGGUCGAACCUCAGCGCCCAAGCUAACGCGAUAAGUAAUCCGCCUGGGGAGUACGUACGCAAGUAUGAAACUCAAAUGAAUUGACGGGG
rnacentral:rRNA from 1 species